AGGAACAAGAUAAAUCAAAAAAAACUUACCCCAACCAAAUUGGGUGGACGGUGUUUUUUAUUUUUGUUUUUGUUCUUGGUUUUUCAUUUCUACUUUUUUUCCUUCUCUUGUUGGGAUUGAUUGGGUAGUGAGGGUUUGAUUUGGAGAAAUAGAAAAG
rnacentral:ribozyme from 14 species